CCUGCCGAUGACUCGGGGAUAGCCUUUCGAAAGAAAGAUUAAUACCCGAUGGCAUAGUUCUUCCGCAUGGUGGAACUAUUAAAGAAUUUCGGUCAUCGAUGGGGAUGCGUUCCAUUAGGUUGUUGGCGGGGUAACGGCCCACCAAGCCUUCGAUGGAUAGGGGUUCUGAGAGGAAGGUCCCCCACAUUGGAACUGAGACACGGUCCAAACUCCUACGGGAGGCAGCAGUGAGGAAUAUUGGUCAAUGGACGAGAGUCUGAACCAGCCAAGUAGCGUGAAGGAUGACUGCCCUAUGGGUUGUAAACUUCUUUUAUACGGGAAUAAAGUGAGGCACGCGUGCCUUUUUGUAUGUACCGUAUGAAUAAGGAUCGGCUAACUCCGUGCCAGCAGCCGCGGUAAUACGGAGGAUCCGAGCGUUAUCCGGAUUUAUUGGGUUUAAAGGGAGCGUAGGCGGACGCUUAAGUCAGUUGUGAAAGUUUGCGGCUCAACCGUAAAAUUGCAGUUGAUACUGGGUGUCUUGAGUACAGUAGAGGCAGGCGGAAUUCGUGGUGUAGCGGUGAAAUGCUUAGAUAUCACGAAGAACUCCGAUUGCGAAGGCAGCCUGCUGGACUGUAACUGACGCUGAUGCUCGAAAGUGUGGGUAUCAAACAGGAUUAGAUACCCUGGUAGUCCACACAGUAAACGAUGAAUACUCGCUGUUUGCGAUAUACAGUAAGCGGCCAAGCGAAAGCGUUAAGUAUUCCACCUGGGGAGUAC
rnacentral:rRNA from 1 species